CGCCAUCACAUGGGAUUCGAACCCACGACACUUGUACGAUAAACGAGUAUUUUACCAAAUAAGCUACUGAUC
rnacentral:tRNA from 1 species